AAGGUCUAACCUGCCCGAUGAUCUUAGGAUUCAAUGGCCGCGGUAUUUUAACUGUGCUAAGGUAGCAUAAUCAUUUGUCUUUUAAUUAAAGGCUAGAAUGAAUGGUUGGACGAGGUAUUGUCUUUCUUUAACUUAGUUGUUGAAUUUAAUUUUCUAGUUAAAAAGCUAGAAUGUUUUUGUGGGACGAGAAGACCCUAUAGAUCUUUAUAUUUGUAAUUUAUCAUGUAUUUUAGUGAAUUAAUUAUUUUGAUAGGUUCAUUUAUUUGGUUGGGGCGACUGUAGAAUUAUAAUAACUUCUAUUUUAAUAAGUUCAUUAAUUAAUGUUUUAUUGAUCCAUUAUUAUUGAUUAUAAUAUUAAGUUACCUUAGGGAUAACAGCGUAAUUUUCUUGAAGAGUUCUUAUCGAUAAGAGAGUUUGCGACCUCGAUGUUGGAUUAAAAUAAGUAAUGGGUGCAGUAGCUCAGUUACUAGGUCUGUUCGACCUU
rnacentral:rRNA from 1 species